rnacentral:rRNA from 1 species
GAUGAACGCUGGCGGCGUGCUUCCCUUUUGCAAGUCAAACGAACCUUCGGGUUAGUGGCGGACGGGUGAGUAACGCGUGAAAAUCUGCCCUCAGGAGGGGGAUAACGGCUGGAAACGGCCGCUAAUACCCCAUAUGCCAAGAGGUGAAACAAAUUUCGCCUGAGGAUGAGCUCGCGUCUGAUUAGCUAGUUGGUGGGGUAAAGGCCUACCAAGGCAUCGAUCAGUAGCUGGUCUGAGAGGAUGAUCAGCCACACUGGGACUGAGACACGGCCCAAACUCCUACGGGAGGCAGCAGUGGGGAAUUUUCCGCAAUGGGCGCAAGCCUGACGGAGCAACUCCGCGUGAGGGAUGAAGGCCUCUGGGCUGUAAACCUCUUUUAUCAAGGAAAAAAAUCUGACGGUACUUGAUGAAUAACCCACGGCUAAUUCCGUGCCAC